rnacentral:rRNA from 1 species
UGGGGAAUAUUGCACAAUGGGCGAAAGCCUGAUGCAGCAACGCCGCGUGAGUGAUGAAGGCCUUCGGGUUGUAAAGCUCUGUCUUCUGGGACGAUAAUGACGGUACCAGAGGAGGAAGCCACGGCUAACUACGUGCCAGCAGCCGCGGUAAUACGUAGGUGGCAAGCGUUGUCCGGAUUUACUGGGCGUAAAGGAUGCGUAGGCGGAUACUUAAGUCAGAUGUGAAAAUCCCGGGCUUAACUUGGGAACUGCAUUUGAAACUGGGUAGCUAGAGGGCGGGAGAGGAAAGUGGAAUUCCUAGUGUAGCGGUGAAAUGCGUAGAGAUUAGGAAGAACACCAGUGGCGAAGGCGACUUUCUGGACCGUAACUGACGCUGAGGCAUGAAAGCGUGGGGAGCAAACA